rnacentral:rRNA from 1 species
AUUGAACGCUGGCGGCAUGCCUUACACAUGCAAGUCGAACGGCAGCAUGAUCUAGCUUGCUAGAUUGAUGGCGAGUGGCGAACGGGUGAGUAAUACAUCGGAACGUGCCCUGUAGUGGGGGAUAACUAGUCGAAAGAUUAGCUAAUACCGCAUACGACCUGAGGGUGAAAGUGGGGGACCGCAAGGCCUCAUGCUAUAGGAGCGGCCGAUGUCUGAUUAGCUAGUUGGUGAGGUAAAGGCUCACCAAGGCGACGAUCAGUAGCUGGUCUGAGAGGACGGUCAGGCACACUGGGACUGAGACACGGCCCAGACUCCUACGGGAGGCAGCAGUGGGGAACUUUGGACAAUGGGCGAAAGCCUGAUCCAGCAAUGCCGCGUGUGUGAAGAAGGCCUUCGGGUUGUAAAGCACUUUUGUCCGGAAAGAAAUGGCUCUGGUUAAUACCUGGGGUCGAUGACGGUACCGGAAGAAUAAGGACCGGCUAACUACGUGCCAGCCGCCGCGGUAA